GGAAGGGUGGGCGGCUGGCCUCACGUGGACCACCCGCUGUCGGUCCUGAAAGGGGCCCCGAGGGCAGGGGAGCCGCGCUGUGACCGCGGGGCAGGCCUCACCGAGGACGCCGAGGGAGGUGGAGGAGGAGGCCGGGCUCGCGGGCGUGUGAGAGCUGCCGGACGCCUCGAGGAGGCUGCAGAAACCACCCCAUGAUGGCAUCUCCUAGGGUGAGGGCACGUUCUCCCCAGACUCUGAUGACCCGAGCAGCCCUGUCACUGCAAGACCUGGCGUCGCAUGUGACCAUGAGGGCUGCAGUGUCAGCAUGGUGGGUCCAGGCACUGCCUGCCAUCCUCUGGCAGAAGAGUGGGAGCUCAGCAGCCCCUCCCAUGGAAUCCUCGCUGUCUCCCAGUGUCUACACCACCCUGAACACGCGCAGUGACGCAGAAGGUCUUCUUGGGUCUUCCUCCAUCGGCAGGUCCUGCAGUGUGGAUUCGGGGGGCUGGGGAGGGUGGGCACCACUGCAUCUGCUGCACUCUGGUUCCCAAGCCCUGCUCCUUUUCUCGGAUCUUACGGACGCCCUUCUUCACCCGAGUCAGCAUCUCCCCUCAGCUGCGUCCAGCGCCACAGUGAGUGGAGCUCUGCCUGCCUGCAGGACACACCCCUGCCGUGUCUGUCUUGUUGCUGGGAGGCCCGGACUGGCUUUUCUGGCCCCUGGUCUCUAAUGCUGUCUUAUUUCCUCUCGGCUGUGUCUGGGCCUCCCCCCAAAGCCCUCUUGUCUGUUUGGGCAGGAAAGUGUGUUGCCCACAUCCUUGACUCUCCACGUCUGGUCGCCUGGAUGUGGACCCACCCUCCUGCUGCCGCUGGUACUCAGAGCCCCCUCAGAUGAUCGGUGAUGGGGCAGGGGAGGGCUGGAAGCCAGGGCCCCCAUUGCCACCCCCCACCCGGCUUGUCUGGGCACCCAACUCAAGUGAUCUGCGCACCUACUGUGUGCCGGGCACCGUGCCGAGAGCGUCUGCGGCCCCUCCCUGUACCCUCACAACCGCCUGUGAAGGAGGCUCAUCAGCUCUGCCUUCAGACGGGGAAACUGAGGAUCCGGGAGGUUAAGUCAGCGCCCCAAGGUCGCCCACCUGACCCUGAGGAGCCCUGAAGGGGACGCACGUCCCCUCCCCACUCUGCCCCGUCUGCAGAGACAUGGCUUCCAGAACCCUGCAGGGAGAGCCCGCGCUGCAGCCGCUCCCAAGUCCGUCCUGGCCGCUGUUUACCUGGAAUCAUCCCGUGGGUCCCGCCAAGCAGAUGUUAGAGAUCUUCUCCUGGAACCACAGGCCGGGCCCACAUGGCCGGCAGACGCCCACCCCACUCCCGAGAGGACCUUGUUUAACCAGGGUCCCCAUGCGCUGCGUCUGCAAGAAGCCUGCCCAACUGCGGACUUGGCGGCCAUCCCAAGAGGGCUGUCACUGAAACUGACCACAGUGGGCGAAGGGCUCUGGGGGAAGAUCUCAACAGUGGGACCGCUGGCCUCAAGGCAAAACUCAAGGCCAUCAGCUGUUUGGGUAAAAUGCAAUGAUGUCCAUGAAAUUGUCAUUAAACUCUUGCUUGCGU